rnacentral:rRNA from 1 species
CGAAGGGGGCUAGCGUUGCUCGGAAUUACUGGGCGUAAAGGGCGCGGUAGGCGGGUCGUCAAGUUGGGGGUGAAAGCCCAGGGCUCAACCCUGGAACUGCCUUCAAAACUGGCGACCUAGAGUAUGGUAGAGGUGUGUGGAACUCCGAGUGUAGAGGUGAAAUUCGUAGAUAUUCGGAAGAACACCAGUGGCGAAGGCGACACACUGGGCCAUUACUGACGCUGAGGCGCGAAAGCGUGGGGAGCAAACAGGAUUAGAUACCCUGGUAGUCCACGCUGUAAACGAUGAGAGCUAGUUGUCGGCAUGCAUGCAUGUCGGUGACGCAGCUAACGCAUUAAGCUCUCCGCCUGGGGAGUACGGUCGCAAGAUUA